rnacentral:rRNA from 1 species
AGGACGAACGCUGGCGGCGUGCCUAACACAUGCAAGUCGAGCGGAAAGGCCUUUCGGGGUACUCGAGCGGGCGAACGGGUGAGUAACACGUGAGUAAUCUGCCCAUCGCUUCAGGAUAGCCAUCGGAAACGGUGAUUAAUACUGGAUAUGACAUUCCUUCGCAUGUUGGGGUGUGGAAAGUUUUUUCGGCGGUUGGAUGUGCUCGCGGCCUAUCAGCUUGUUGGUGGGUAAUCGGCCUACCAAGGCUUUGACGGGUACGCCGGCCUGAGGAGGGUCGACCGGCCACACUGGGACUGAGACACGGCCCAGACUACCGUACGGGAGGCAGCGAGG